AAUAAGGGCUCGUGUAUCAUCACUAUUCUCAGCAUUGGGGACAUCGGUGCGGAAUAGAUAAAGAGAUUUCGGAAGCAUCAUUUUUGUCAAUAGGAUUGCCUGUGAGUGUUACUCUGGGCAUAAAA